rnacentral:misc_RNA from 1 species
UUGUGGAGGAGGACGCCGAAGGUGGGGCUAAUGACUGGGGUGAAGUCGUAACAAGGUAGCCGUACCGGAAGGUGCGGCUGGAUCACCUCCUAACAGGGAGACAACAAAAUGUUAAAUAUUAAUUUUGUCACCUUAGGUCGAUCGGUAUCUCAGAUUCUUGAUUUAAUCAAGAAUUUCAUUUCCUAAGUUUUUUCUAGGUCACACCCAUUACUUUUCCUGGGCCAUUAGCUCAGGUGGUUAGAGCGCACCCCUGAUAAGGGUGAGGUCCCUGGUUCAAGUCCAGGAUGGCCCAUAUCUCUAUGUUGGGGGUAUAGCUCAGUUGGUAGAGCGCCUGCUUUGCAAGCAGGAUGUCAGCGGUUCGGGUCCGCUUACCUCCACUGAUUACCACCUCUUUCAUUACAAAUAUCAGGAAUUGUUUUGAGUUUUCCUUAUUAUUCUGAACGAAUCUAGCUUCCUAAUAAACUUAUUAAGAUGCUGGACUCAUUGAAUUUAUUCAUUGUUUUCAGAGAACCUUGACAACUGCAUAGAUUAUUUUUUUUAGACAAUAAGCAUCUUUAAUGAUGCAGAUUUAUUAUUUGUGCUAAUGCAUUAAUAACAAUUCUAUUGAGCUGAUGCUUCAAAAAUAUUGAAGUUAUUGGUCAAGCUACAA